UGGGAUUGACGCUACAGCCAUCACUACGCUCCUGCGCCACCCAGACGAGUAUCUAACUGUCUCUCUGACUGAAACUAAGAGCCUCUGCAGAUAUGGCUGACAAAGCGGAUGUGUCAGGAGUAACAACCUUCGACAAGACCAAGCUGAAGAAGACGGAGACCGCUGAGAAAAACACCCUGCCAACCAAAGAAACCAUCGAUCAGGAGAAGUCAACAUAAUGAAGACUAGUCCUCCUGUACAUUUCACAAGCCUUGCCUUUUUUCUGUUCAAUAAAUGGGUAGAUGUCCCUCUGUACAGCAAGGAAGCGUGGCCUGGCGUCGGCAUGGGUUCCUGAUCAUCUGUUGUGGAUAAGUGUCAUGAAACAACUGAGGGACCUACACUUUCUGAUUUGUAACCCUUGUCUGCCCACUUGUAAAUGCUCUUGAAGCAAGCUGUGUGUUUUUUGGUAACAAAAUCUGGAUGCACAUGUUUGUUAAAUAUGCAAAAUAAAAAAUGUUAACUGAC